rnacentral:rRNA from 1 species
UACGUAGGGGGCAAGCGUUAUCCGGAUUUACUGGGUGUAAAGGGAGCGUAGACGGCAUGGCAAGUCUGAUGUGAAAACCCGGGGCUCAACCGCGGGACUGCAUUGGAAACUGUCGGGCUAGAGUGUCGGAGAGGCAAGUGGAAUUCCUAGUGUAGCGGUGAAAUGCGUAGAUAUUAGGAGGAACACCAGUGGCGAAGGCGGCUUGCUGGACGAUGACUGACGUUGAGGCUCGAAAGCGUGGGGAGCAAACA